GCUAUUGGUCACAGGUUGAUGUUCUCUGAUAUUUUGUUGUAGUUGGGUUCGUCAUUAAGUCCCGAAGUGUCGAUGAACAGUCGUCCCGUGGCCAUCGAAGGACGCCAAAUCUCGCUCGCGUGGCAUUUUUCGCUCGAGCAACUUGAGCCCGCUGUGUCUGUCUGUCUGUGUGUGUGUUGCUUUAGUUUACUUUGCGUCAUUCGCGCGCUCGGCUCGGUUCGGUUCGCAGGUCUUGCGCGCCACUACGACACGGUCGCGAUUACGAGCGCGCAACUUCCCCCCGUUAACCGAGUGCCUUUGCGCACCAACAGCCUCCCCUUCCCCCCAUUCGUUGGCCAUGGUCAUGUGGCAACGGUUUGGCCAUGUGUGUGGUAGUAGAGCCUCGUGACUCAUCGCAAACAUACCGCAAUGCAAGCGAGCUACAGGCAAGGCAGGCGACUCGGCGAAGGGUGAUGAAGCCGCUCUCUUCUAGCUCCCUUGCCCCUUCCUAUUUCGCUCUAUCUCUCUAUCCCUCUCACUCUAUUGUUUGCUCGCUCGCACUCUAGUGUACGGUCCGUGUCGAAAACACGCAAAUAUACAAACGCACACUACACACCGUCGCUUCGCUAUCAGUUUACGAAGCAACAGAGCACCCAGUCACCCUUUGUGCUCCCACCUACCUUCUAACCUUCCUCCAUUUUCUCUCAGCUUCACCACCAACCCUCCCCCCCCAUCCCUCCAUCACAGCUGGCGAGAAUGCCAUAUUUACCCAACAACCUUUGACGAACAAGUGAGAGCGAAUGUACAGCAUUACUUACCGCGAUUUGGUAGUGCUGGUAUAGUAGAGAGCUUAGUGUUGCGCGGUGUUGUACACGCCCGAAGGCACUCAUACAGCAGUGUAGGUUAUAUACAAUGGGUAGCAGGUUCUAAACAAGGGGUUUCGGAGCAGGUGCACUAGGGCAGGAUUGUGCUACUAAGCAGCGACCGAGCCACUUAACGCAGUGCUAAGCAAAGGAAAUGGUGUGCUGACAUUUGCCUUAUUUGUUGGAAGCUCUCUCGGUGAGUCGUCACGGGUGCAUAUCGACUUAAUCCAUCAUAGCUGUCCGUGCCAAUCCGUACCACUGGGCCGAGUAUUUGGCCUCAUUCGUGUAAUCCUAUAUGCGCUUGAAAGGGAUUUACGCAGAUGUCUCUAUUUGGAGAAGGCAACGUCUUAUAUUGACGCAUUGUUAAAAGUGUCCCAAUGCCCUUCGGGGUGCGAGAAGAAGGUGGAAUACUAUCACAAAGGCCACUCUUGUUACGUUGGAGAUGAUCAUCACGAACAAUUUACCCCCCCUCCCCCCUCGCCGAAUGGGACUUAGUACAUAUUUUAGUGUCCUACGUACUUGAACCCAACAAACAAAGCCCUCAAAGCCACACCACAAGAAACUGAUAAAGCUGGCCACACACCACAGAAAGACGGACUGCUGCUGCACACUCACCGCACCACUAGCAACAGAUAAGCGUUAACAACGUACAACCACACCACCGUAUGCUCCCUCUUUCCGGUGACAGCUGUGUAGAGCACUGCUUUUCGGUUUCCCAUACUAAUCAUCAUGAAUUGCGCGGUUAGGAAUGAACAAAGGAGGCGGACUUUUGGGAGCGUGGUAAGGACCGCAUGUGUACUCCACACUUUCGACUGGCAGCAUAUCACAACACAUCGCUAGAACACAUAUCGAGACCCCCAGACGGCAUGGCUCCCGGAAGUUGGAGCUAUUUGGUGGCCCAUUUUACAAGACCACUGCCUGCAUCUGCUAUUAAUACACGCGUGCUGGACCAUUUAAACUGGUCGGGUUUAGAGGAGCAUUGCAAUUCUGAGCAAUAAUUCAAAUGACCUCAAGAUGUAGUAAUUAAUAUAACGGUCUAUACCUAACGGUAAACAUUUAAGGAAAUCCUAAUCCAACGAGGCAACCAAGGUUUCGUCAGGCGUGCUCCGCGAAAGAGAACACAGACGGAGGUGUGACCACGUGUACACUACACGGUAAAAUUAGAUCCUUCCUAUAUUGUCCCCAAACAAGUUCCGCACACGUUCCGGGUGGCCGUCGCCACAUCGCAAGGUCGUCCAGAACAUAGCUACACUUCCUGCUUCCCGCGCCUCUACACCGGAAGAGUUCAAGGCAAGAGUUGGUGUAGAUCUUGCCGAAAAGAAACCAGUCCGUUGGUUGGCUACCGUCCAACAGCUGGCCACGGCACCAAAGGCGUUUAUAGCGUUGUAGCCAAAGUAAAUGACACCACAAAGCGAAUUUAUGAAUUCGCAACAAAUACUACCGACACACCACCGGGCAACACGCGAAGGUGAGAAGAGAGCAGAGGGUGAGGUAAGAGAGAAUGAUAAAGAGAGAGAGAGAGAGAGAUUGAGAGAGGGACGAAAAAAAUCAAACAACCAAACCAUUUACACUAAAGCGACGGUGAUGAUGAUGGUGGUGGUUGAUGUCAUUGCUAUAUUUGAACCACACAACCACUUCUCGCAUGAGCAACGAGCAACGCACACACAACAGUUGGCAACCAUACCCCUGCCCCAAGCCACCCUCUUUAGUCUUCCCUCCUCUCUUCUCUCUUUCACUUGCAAUCAUCGAUGACUACGAAGACGGCAACGGUAACGGACGAUACGAAGUUACUUUGCGGUGUUUUACAUUCGAUGGUACUAUUACUUUUUAUUCGUUAAAAAACACACACCUUUCGUUAUAGACUACGACAGAUGGCAGAUGGUGGAAUGCACUAUUAAAUAAGGCGGAUUUCCAGCGGGUCCAAAAUGCAGUUGUUUGGCUGGUGGAAGCAGCGCAAGAGCCGUUUCCCUUCAUCUGGUUCAGGUGGCCCGCGACAGGCGACGAGAGUUGACGAUCACCCGCAUGCCGCAUUGGAAAUGGAUACAUGGCACACUCACCCCCCCCCCCCCUUUCCGGCUCUUCCAAUACUACCGGCACAUUCCGAUGUGUUUAAAAUUAAAAUCUUACGUAUCGUGGACGAUGCGAUCAUCCUUAUACUCCGUGAGGCAAAUAAUAAAAAAAAAUAAGGAAGGACAGUGGCAAAGAAGUAACAACAUGUACAUCCCCCUCCUCCGCAGAUGAAAGAUGGGCCUGGCUGCACCGUGUGUGUUGGAUGUGUGUUUUGGUAAGGAUUUUCCCCGGUUGGGCUGGGCGGGUCGGUUAUGAAAAUAAACUCCCAAAAAUCGUCAAACAA